rnacentral:rRNA from 1 species
UACGAAGGGUGCGAGCGUUGUUCGGAUUUAUUGGGCGUAAAGGGUUCGUAGGCGGGAUAAUAAGUCAAGUGUGAAAUCUCCGAGCUUAACUCGGAACGUGCAUUUGAAACUGUUAUUCUUGAGUCAUAGAGAGGGCGAUGGAAUUGUUGGUGUAGGAGUGACAUCCGUAGAGAUCAACAGGAACAUCAGAGGCGAAAGCGGUCGCCUGGCUAUGUACUGACGCUGAGGAACGAAAGCGUGGGGAGCAAAC